CCUACGGGAGGCAGCAGUGAGGAAUAUUGGACAAUGAACGCAAGUCUGAACCAGCCAUACCGCGUGCAGGAAGACGGCUCUAUGAGUUGUAAACUGCUUUUGUACGGGGGUAAACGCAGAUACGCAUAUCUGUCUGGACGUAUCGUACGAAUAAGGAUCGGCAAACUCAGUGCCAGCAGCCGCGGUAAUACGGAGGAUUCAAGCGUUGUCCGGAUUUAUUGGGUUUAAAGGAUGCGUAGGGGGUCGGAUAAGUUAGAGGUGAAAUCCCGAGGCUCAACUUCGGAAUUGCCUGUGAUACUGUUCGGCUAGAGAGUAGUUGCGGUAGGCGGAAUGUAUGGUGUAGCGGUGAAAUGCUUAGAGAUCAUACAGAACACCGAUUGCGAAGGCAGCUUACCAAGCUACUUCUGACGUUGAGGCACGAAAGCGUGGGGAGCAAACAGGAUUAGAUACCCGUGUAGUC
rnacentral:rRNA from 1 species